GGAGCAGUGGCCGAGUGGUUGAAGGCAGCGGUUUUGAAAACCGCCGUACGUGAUGAGCGUACCGGGGGUUCGAAUCCCUCCUGCUCCG
rnacentral:tRNA from 1 species